rnacentral:rRNA from 1 species
CCAGCACCUGCGGUAAUUCCAGCUCCAAUAGCGUAUAUUAUUGUUGUUGCAGUUAAAAAGCUCGUAGUUGGAUAUCUGGCCUUAUUUGACGGACGGCCCGCCUUCGGGUAGAGUGCUGGAAGUCUGGGCCUUUUUUCCGGUUUGUGUCUUUUCCCUUUACUGUGGCGAAGAUGCGGUCCGGAUCUGUUACCCUGAAUAAAUCCGAGUGUUCAAAGCAGGCAUUUGUUUGCCGUGAAGAUUGCAGCAUGGAAUAGCAACCAUAGGACUUUAGCGUCUUAUUCGUUGGUUCUGGGACCUAAGUAAUGAUUGAUAGGGACAGUUGGGGGUGCUGCUAUUCCGCGGCCAGAGGUGAAAUUCUCAGAUUCCCGGAAGAGCAACUUAUGCGAAAGCAUUCACCAAG